rnacentral:rRNA from 1 species
CCUACGGGUGGCAGCAGUGGGGAAUAUUGGGCAAUGGGCGCAAGCCUGACGCAGCAACGCCGCGUGAAGGAAGAAGGCUUUCGGGUUGUAAACUUCUUUUGGCAGGGAAGAGUGGAAGACGGUACCUGUCGAAUAAGCCACGGCUAACUACGUGCAAGCAUCCGCGGUAAUACGUAGGGUGCAGGCGUUGUCCGGCUUUACUGGGUGUAAAGGGCGUGUAGCCGGGUUGACAAGUCAGAUGUGAAAUCCUUGGGCUUAACCGCAGAACUGCAUUUGAAACUGUUGAUCUUGAGUACUGGAGAGGCAGACGGAAUUCCUAGUGUAGCGGUGAAAUGCGUAGAGAUUAGGAGGAACACCAGUGGCGAAGGCGGUCUGCUGGACAGCAACUGACGGUGAGGUGCGAAAGCGUGGGGAGCAAACAGGAUUAGAUACCCGAGUAGUC